GAACUAGCUCAGUUGGUGGAGCAUGAGACUCUUAAUCUCAGGGCUGUGAGUUCGAGUCCUGCAUUGCA